rnacentral:rRNA from 1 species
UACGUAGGGGGCAAGCGUUAUCCGGAUUUACUGGGUGUAAAGGGAGCGUAGACGGCUGUACAAGUCUGAAGUGAAAGCCCGUGGCUCAACCGCGGAACUGCUUUGGAAACUGUAAAGCUGGAGUACUGGAGAGGCAGGCGGAAUUCCUAGUGUAGCGGUGAAAUGCGUAGAUAUUAGGAGGAACACCAGUGGCGAAGGCGGCCUGCUGGACAGAAACUGACGUUGGGGCUCGAAAGCGUGGGGAGCAAACAGG